rnacentral:lncRNA from 1 species
CUCAAUCACAUCAUUAGGGUAUGGAUAUAUCAUGUCAAACCCCUAGUGUGAUUAUUCCUUCUUAUAUGAUCCAAUUGAGUCGUAUAGGAACGCUUUCCUUUAUUACGCUCGAUACUUCGGCCGAAGAUUCCCAAAUCAUAUCUUAGAGUAUUCUUCCUCUCUUAUCGAGGAUUAGAGAUUCCUUGUUGCGCAUACACUUGCCUUCAUGACUAAGUGGCUUAACCCUAACUAUGCCGUUGACAUUCUGAUAGAGUGACAUUGACAUAAUCAAAGAUUAAGUACUUAACCACAAGACAACGACGAUGCCUCAGGUCAAAGGAUUACUUACAUUAUUCCAACCAUUUGAGUUACUUGCUUGACAUGUGAGUAGACCUUCAUGCAAGUACUCUGAUUCGAUUGUAUUCAGUGAACUCAUUCCCUUAAUGAGCACCUACAUACUUGUCUUAGUGUCACAACACGAAUAGGUUGAGACUUUCCAUCCUUCCAAUUGAAGCGGACACAGUAUGUACUGGUCUAAGCAUUGUCAGUAUCCCUCCGACAAUCCAACGACCAGGAACCUUUUGGACAUAAUGGUUAUGUGAAGAAGGUCUCUGUAGUCUAACAUCAUUAGAUUACUUCUUCAAUCGAUCCAUUGUCCAUGGAUUCACUAUUCAAGACAUAUAUCGUUUAUUGAGAUAGUCCUAAUUAGUAUCUUUGCCAUUUGAUGUAUAAGAAUCAUCCAUACAUCGAUUCAUUUGUCCUGAAAGAUUUCUUCCAAAGAUUGACUUUCAGGGCAUAUUUCCAACAGAUAUAUUGGUAAAGAUGUUGCACUACGCCUACAUGCAACCACUGAAUUGGUUAUUAAAGACGUUUUCCUCUACCUUGAAGGUAUUACAAAUUUGGGAUAAUUCCAACGCAUCCUAAGCGGAUUCAACCCCCUUGAUCUUUGCAAUGAUGCUUGCCUUGUUUGUUAUGCUAAUGUUGGUUACUUAUCAAACUCACAAAAGGCACAAGGCAUAUCCCUGAAUGGUUAUAUUUUUACCGUUAAGGAUACCACAAUAUCUUGGAGGUUCAUGAUAUGACCCUAGUUGCAAAAUCUUUGCAUCAUUCCAAGACUCACCUCAUUUCACUACACCACAUGUGAAACAUGGUUGAGAGUUCUUGUUGAGCAUAUUCGAAGUACUUGAUAUUUUCAUCCAUCGUUGAGUCCCAAUGACGAUCCAUGAUGACUAUGUU